GGGUUGUGAGGUUAAGCGACUAAGCGUACACGGUGGAUGCCCUGGCAGUCAGAGGCGAUGAAGGACGUGCUAAUCUGCGAAAAGCGUCGGUAAGGUGAUAUGAACCGUUAUAACCGGCGAUGUCCGAAUGGGGAAACCCAGUGCAAUUCGUUGCACUAUCGUUAACUGAAUACAUAGGUUAACGAGGCGAACCGGGGGAACUGAAACAUCUAAGUACCCCGAGGAAAAGAAAUCAACCGAGAUUCCCCCAGUAGCGGCGAGCGAACGGGGAGCAGCCCAGAGUCUGAAUCAGCUUGUGUGUUAGUGGAACGGUCUGGAAAGUCCGACGGUACAGGGUGAUAGUCCCGUACACCAAAAUGCACAGGCUGUGAACUCGAAGAGUAGGGCGGGACACGUGGUAUCCUGUCUGAAUAUGGGGGGACCAUCCUCCAAGGCUAAAUACUCCUGACUGACCGAUAGUGAACCAGUACCGUGAGGGAAAGGCGAAAAGAACCCCGGCGAGGGGAGUGAAAAAGAACCUGAAACCGUGUACGUACAAGCAGUGGGAGCNNGUGACUGCGUACCUUUUGUAUAAUGGGUCAGCGACUUAUAUUCUGUAGCAAGGUUAACCGUAUAGGGGAGCCGCAGGGAAACCGAGUCUUAACUGGGCGUUAAGUUGCAGGGUAUAGACCCGAAACCCGGUGAUCUAGCCAUGGGCAGGUUGAAGGUUGGGUAACACUAACUGGAGGACCGAACCGACUAAUGUUGAAAAAUUAGCGGAUGACUUGUGGCUGGGGGUGAAAGGCCAAUCAAACCGGGAGAUAGCUGGUUCUCCCCGAAAGCUAUUUAGGUAGCGCCUCGUGAACUCAUCUUCGGGGGUAGAGCACUGUUUCGGCUAGGGGGUCAUCCCGACUUACCAACCCGAUGCAAACUACGAAUACCGAAGAAUGUUAUCACGGGAGACACACGGCGGGUGCUAACGUCCGUCGUGAAGAGGGAAACAACCCAGACCGCCAGCUAAGGUCCCAAAGUCAUGGUUAAGUGGGAAACGAUGUGGGAAGGCACAGACAGCCAGGAUGUUGGCUUAGAAGCAGCCAUCAUUUAAAGAAAGCGUAAUAGCUCACUGGUCGAGUCGGCCUGCGCGGAAGAUGUAACGGGGCUAAACCAUGCACCGAAGCUGCGGCAGCGACGCUUAUGCGUUGUUGGGUAGGGGAGCGUUCUGUAAGCCUGCGAAGGUGACCUGUGAGGGUUGCUGGAGGUAUCAGAAGUGCGAAUGCUGACAUAAGUAACGAUAAAGCGGGUGAAAAGCCCGCUCGCCGGAAGACCAAGGGUUCCUGUCCAACGUUAAUCGGGGCAGGGUGAGUCGACCCCUAAGGCGAGGCCGAAAGGCGUAGUCGAUGGGAAACAGGUUAAUAUUCCUGUACUUGGUGUUACUGCGAAGGGGGGACGGAGAAGGCUAUGUUAGCCGGGCGACGGUUGUCCCGGUUUAAGCAUGUAGGCUGGUUAUCCAGGCAAAUCCGGAUAAUCAAGGCUGAGGUGUGAUGACGAGGCACUACGGUGCUGAAGUAACAAAUGCCCUGCUUCCAGGAAAAGCCUCUAAGCAUCAGGUAACAUCAAAUCGUACCCCAAACCGACACAGGUGGUCAGGUAGAGAAUACCAAGGCGCUUGAGAGAACUCGGGUGAAGGAACUAGGCAAAAUGGUGCCGUAACUUCGGGAGAAGGCACGCUGGUGUGUAGGUGAAGUCCCUGCGGAUGGAGCUGAGACCAGUCGAAGAUACCAGCUGGCUGCAACUGUUUAUUAAAAACACAGCACUGUGCAAACACGAAAGUGGACGUAUACGGUGUGACGCCUGCCCGGUGCCGGAAGGUUAAUUGAUGGGGUUAUCCGUAAGGAGAAGCUCUUGAUCGAAGCCCCGGUAAACGGCGGCCGUAACUAUAACGGUCCUAAGGUAGCGAAAUUCCUUGUCGGGUAAGUUCCGACCUGCACGAAUGGCGUAAUGAUGGCCAGGCUGUCUCCACCCGAGACUCAGUGAAAUUGAACUCGCUGUGAAGAUGCAGUGUACCCGCGGCAAGACGGAAAGACCCCGUGAACCUUUACUAUAGCUUGACACUGAACAUUGAGCCUUGAUGUGUAGGAUAGGUGGGAGGCUUUGAAGCGUGGACGCCAGUCUGCGUGGAGCCAACCUUGAAAUACCACCCUUUAAUGUUUGAUGUUCUAACGUUGGCCCCUUAUCGGGGUUGCGGACAGUGUCUGGUGGGUAGUUUGACUGGGGCGGUCUCCUCCCAAAGCGUAACGGAGGAGCACGAAGGUUAGCUAAUCCUGGUCGGACAUCAGGAGGUUAGUGCAAUGGCAUAAGCUAGCUUGACUGCGAGCGUGACGGCGCGAGCAGGUGCGAAAGCAGGUCAUAGUGAUCCGGUGGUUCUGAAUGGAAGGGCCAUCGCUCAACGGAUAAAAGGUACUCCGGGGAUAACAGGCUGAUACCGCCCAAGAGUUCAUAUCGACGGCGGUGUUUGGCACCUCGAUGUCGGCUCAUCACAUCCUGGGGCUGAAGUAGGUCCCAAGGGUAUGGCUGUUCGCCAUUUAAAGUGGUACGCGAGCUGGGUUUAGAACGUCGUGAGACAGUUCGGUCCCUAUCUGCCGUGGGCGCUGGAGAAUUGAGGGGGGCUGCUCCUAGUACGAGAGGACCGGAGUGGACGCAUCACUGGUGUUCGGGUUGUCAUGCCAAUGGCACUGCCCGGUAGCUAAAUGCGGAAGAGAUAAGUGCUGAAAGCAUCUAAGCACGAAACUUGCCCCGAGAUGAGUUCUCCCUGAGACUUUAAGUCUCCUGAAGGAACGUUGAAGACGACGACGUUGAUAGGCCGGGUGUGUAAGCGCAGCGAUGCGUUGAGCUAACCGGUACUAAUGAACCGUGAGGCUUAACCUUACAACGCCGAAG
rnacentral:rRNA from 1 species